rnacentral:rRNA from 1 species
GCGGACGGGUGAGUAACGCGUGAGGAACGUGCCUUUCAGAGGGGGACAACAGUUGGGAAACGACGCUAAUCCGCAUGACACAUAGAGAUGCAUGGUUUUUUAUGUCAAAGAUUUAUCGCUGAAAGAUGGCCUCGCGUUGAUUAGCACUUGGUGAGGUAACGGCCCACCAAGCGACGAUCAGUAGCCGGACUGAGAGGUUGAACGGCCACAUUGCGACUGAGAUACGGCCCAGACUCCUACGGGAGGCAGCAGUGGGGAAUAUUGGGCAAUGGGCGCAAGCCUGACCCAGCAACGCCGCGUGAAGGAAGAAGGCUUUCGGGUUGUAAACUUCUUUUGUCAGGGACGAGUAGAAGACGGUACCUGGAGAAAAAGCCACGGCUAACUACGUGCCAGCAGCCGCGGUAAUACGUAGGUGGCAAGCGUUGUCCGGAUUUACUGGGUGUAAAGGGUGCGUAGGCGGCAGAGCAAGUCAGAUGUGAAAUCCGUGGGCUUAACCCACGAACUGCAUUUGAAACUGUUUUGCUUGAGUGAAGUAGAGGCAGGCGGAAUUCCUAGUGUAGCGGUGAAAUGCGUAGAUAUUAGGAGGAACACCAGUGGCGAAGGCGGCUUGCUGGACGACAACUGACGCUGAGGCGCGAAAGCGUGGGGAGCAAACAGGAUUA